rnacentral:misc_RNA from 1 species
GAUGAAGAACGUAGCGAAAUGCGAUAAGUAAUGUGAAUUGCAGAAUUCAGUGAAUCAUCGAAUCUUUGAACGCACAUUGCGCCCGCCAGCAUUCUGGCGGGCAUGCCUGUUCGAGAGUCAUUUCAACCCUCGAGCCCCCCCGGGGGCCUCGGUGUUGGGGGACGGCACACCAGCCGCCCCCGAAAUGCAGUGGCGACCCCGCCGCAGCCUCCCCUGCGUAGUAGCACACACCUCGCACCGGAGCGCGGAGGCGGUCACGCCGUAAAACGCCCAACUUUCUUAGAGUUGACCUCGGAUCAGGUAGGAAUACCCGCUGAACUUAAGCAUAUCAAUAAGCGGAGGA